rnacentral:rRNA from 1 species
CAUAGGUUAAUGAGGCGAACCGGGGGAACUGAAACAUCUAAGUACCCCGAGGAAAAGAAAUCAACCGAGAUUCCCCCAGUAGCGGCGAGCGAACGGGGAGCAGCCCAGAGCCUGAAUCAGUGUGUGUGUUAGUGGAAGCGUCUGGAAAGGCGCGCGAUACAGGGUGACAGCCCCGUACACAAAAAUGCACAUGCUGUGAGCUCGAUGAGUAGGGCGGGACACGUGGUAUCCUGUCUGAAUAUGGGGGGACCAUCCUCCAAGGCUAAAUACUCCUGACUGACCGAUAGUGAACCAGUACCGUGAGGGAAAGGCGAAAAGAACCCCGGCGAGGGGAGUGAAAAAGAACCUGAAACCGUGUACGUACAAGCAGUGGGAGCACGCUUAGGCGUGUGACUGCGUACCUUUUGUAUAAUGGGUCAGCGACUUAUAUUCUGUAGCAAGGUUAACCGAAUAGGGGAGCCGAAGGGAAACCGAGUCUUAACUGGGCGUUAAGUUGCAGGGUAUAGACCCGAAACCCGGUGAUCUAGCCAUGGGCAGGUUGAAGGUUGGGUAACACUAACUGGAGGACCGAACCGACUAAUGUUGAAAAAUUAGCGGAUGACUUGUGGCUGGGGGUGAAAGGCCAAUCAAACCGGGAGAUAGCUGGUUCUCCCCGAAAGCUAUUUAGGUAGCGCCUCGUGAAUUCAUCUCCGGGGGUAGAGCACUGUUUCGGCAAGGGGGUCAUCCCGACUUACCAACCCGAUGCAAACUGCGAAUACCGGAGAAUGUUAUCACGGGAGACACACGGCGGGUGCUAACGUCCGUCGUGAAGAGGGAAACAACCCAGACCGCCAGCUAAGGUCCCAAAGUCAUGGUUAAGUGGGAAACGAUGUGGGAAGGCCCAGACAGCCAGGAUGUUGGCUUAGAAGCAGCCAUCAUUUAAAGAAAGCGUAAUAGCUCACUGGUCGAGUCGGCCUGCGCGGAAGAUGUAACGGGGCUAAACCAUGCACCGAAGCUGCGGCAGCGACGCUUAUGCGUUGUUGGGUAGGGGAGCGUUCUGUAAGCCUGUGAAGGUGUGCUGUGAGGCAUGCUGGAGGUAUCAGAAGUGCGAAUGCUGACAUAAGUAACGAUAAAGCGGGUGAAAAGCCCGCUCGCCGGAAGACCAAGGGUUCCUGUCCAACGUUAAUCGGGGCAGGGUGAGUCGACCCCUAAGGCGAGGCCGAAAGGCGUAGUCGAUGGGAAACAGGUUAAUAUUCCUGUACUUGGUGUUACUGCGAAGGGGGGACGGAGAAGGCUAUGUUGGCCGGGCGACGGUUGUCCCGGUUUAAGCGUGUAGGCUGGUUUUCCAGGCAAAUCCGGAAAAUCAAGGCUGAGGCGUGAUGACGAGGCACUACGGUGCUGAAGCAACAAAUGCCCUGCUUCCAGGAAAAGCCUCUAAGCAUCAGGUAACAUCAAAUCGUACCCCAAACCGACACAGGUGGUCAGGUAGAGAAUACCAAGGCGCUUGAGAGAACUCGGGUGAAGGAACUAGGCAAAAUGGUGCCGUAACUUCGGGAGAAGGCACGC